rnacentral:rRNA from 1 species
UACGAAGGGGGCUAGCGUUGCUCGGAAUUACUGGGCGUAAAGCGCACGUAGGCGGCUUCUUAAGUCGGUGGUGAAAUCCUGGAGCUCAACUCCAGAACUGCCUCGAUACUGGGAGCUCGAGUCCGGGAGAGGUGAGUGGAACUGCGAGUGUAGAGGUGAAAUUCGUAGAUAUUCGCAAGAACACCAGUGGCGAAGGCGGCUCACUGGCCCGGUACUGACGCUGAGGUGCGAAAAGCGUGGGG